rnacentral:rRNA from 1 species
CGAGCGAACCCUUCGGGGUUAGCGGCGGACGGGUGAGUAACGCGUGGGAAUAUGCCCUUCUCUACGGAAUAGCCUCGGGAAACUGAGAGUAAUACCGUAUACGCCCUUCGGGGGAAAGAUUUAUCGGAGAAGGAUUAGCCCGCGUUGGAUUAGGUAGUUGGUGGGGUAAUGGCCUACCAAGCCGACGAUCCAUAGCUGGUUUGAGAGGAUGAUCAGCCACACUGGGACUGAGACACGGCCCAG